UGGGGAAUCUUCCGCAAUGGACGAAAGUCUGACGGAGCAACGCCGCGUGAGUGAUGACGGUCUUCGGAUUGUAAAGCUCUGUUAAUCGGGACGAAUGGUUUGUGUGCAAAUAGUGCAUAGACAUGACGGUACCGGAAUAGAAAGCCACGGCUAACUACGUGCCAGCAGCCGCGGUAAUACGUAGGUGGCAAGCGUUGUCCGGAAUUAUUGGGCGUAAAGCGCGCGCAGGCGGACUAGCCAGUCAGUCUUAAAAGUUCGGGGCUUAACCCCGUGAUGGGAUUGAAACUACUAGUCUAGAGUAUCGGAGAGGAGAGUGGAAUUCCUAGUGUAGCGGUGAAAUGCGUAGAUAUUAGGAAGAACACCAGUGGCGAAGGCGACUUUCUGGACGAACACUGACGCUGAGGCGCGAAAGCCAGGGGAGCGAACGGG
rnacentral:rRNA from 1 species